rnacentral:tRNA from 1 species
GAGGGUAUAGCUCAGUGGUAGAGCGCAUGCUUAACAUGCACACGGUCCUGGGUUCAAUCUCCAGUACCUCUA